GACCAUGUAGCUCAGUCGGUAGAGCGGCCUCGCAAAAGGUGCGCCGGGGGUUCGAGCCCCCCCAUGGAUG
rnacentral:tRNA from 1 species